rnacentral:rRNA from 1 species
UACGUAGGGUGCGAGCGUUGUCCGGAAUUAUUUGGGCGUAAAGGGCUCGUAGGCGGUUUGUCGCGUCGGGAGUGAAAUCCACUGGCUUAACUGGUGGCUUGCUUUCGAUACGGGCAGACUGGAGGUAUGCAGGGGAGAACGGAAUUCCUGGUGUAGCGGUGAAAUGCGCAGAUAUCAGGAGGAACACCGGUGGCGAAGGCGGCUCUCUGGGACGGUACCGACGCUGAGACGCGAAAGCGUGGGGAGCGAACAGG